rnacentral:lncRNA from 1 species
CUUCGGCUCAACUGUAGCGGCGACGGAAUUUUCCCCGGUCUUGGACGUCACCAUCGCGUGCAAACAAGAAGGAGAAAAUCUGCAGUGGGAAGGUGGCAAUCUUCAGAUCGGGAGGAUUAGAACAGAUCGGGAUCCAAUCUUAUCUAGGGUGUCGGUCAAGGAGUCCAGAAGGAAUACAACUUGGACAAGGUGUCCAAAACGAAAAACUCCCGGGCGCCGGCUCGGACAAGGACUCCCAGGCGGAAUCGGACGCUGACUUCUAGGCGGAAAUGGACGAGGACUCCUAGGCGGAACCGGAUGAGGACUCCUAGGCGGAAUCGGACAAGGACUCCCAAUAGAUAAUUCUCAGCAGAGAAUCGCCGUGAGAAACCCGACGAAUCUAAUACCAAGAUGAUAAGGAUCAACGUGAUCCAAAAGGGUUUUAGGCCCAAUCUUUCACGGCGAUCGACGAACAAGCAGAUCAGCAACAGAGCGAAAUCAAUUUGAAGUAAUCCAGAUCAAAUCCCUUCAAUUCCUCACGUUGGAACUGAUUAGAAUCAACUCCACCGCAGCGCAUAACAUCAAGUCUUCAAGAUCAGCAAGCAAACACGACAAUAUGCGCCCCAAAACAUUGGGACUUUUCUGAUCUAUUCUUAAUCUCGAAAAUUCAACCCCUUACGACGACGGCUGCCAAGAACCCUUUAUAGGGUGACUCUAAUGCAACUUGGGUGGGACAGGCCCCCACGCCACACAACUAAGGCCCAUGGGCUGAACUAAAAGUGGUUUUAGACAGGCCCAAAAACCAUCAAACGAAAAAUAAAAAAAACACUAGAGACUUAAAUAAAUCUCAAACUCUAAAACGAAGUAAACUUCAAAACUGGUGGUGUUUUGAAAUUGGGAUGACAAACGGAGCUUGCAUGGUUUGUUUGACCGGGAAAAACAGAAUCUUAAAAUCAAUCAGUGAACAAACGCCUGAGGCCAUUCAGUCAUGCUUCUUCAAGGAUUGGAACUACUCUGCAUGAUUAGCAAGGAGCGCACAUAUUUAUUCAUCGUUACGCCUUAGGCGGACGCUCUACUUCGAUGCACGUUUCCUGAAAAACAAACUUGUUCCAUAUGUUACGGCUCAAAAAAUUGCCAAGCACAGGA